GACCGCUUAGCUCAGUUGGCUAGAGCGUUGCAUUCACAUUGCAAAGGUCGGGGGUUCAAGCCCCUCAGCGGUCA
rnacentral:tRNA from 1 species